rnacentral:lncRNA from 1 species
UACGAAAGUCCCAUCAAACCCUCCAACGGAAAAAACUUUAAUAAACCGCCACCUCCUCCUCGACCGCCUCACCUGCCUUGUCGUCCUAGUGGUGAUCCCCCCGCUUCCAUCUCCUAUGAAUCAACUCCUAAGAAUCAUGUCUCCAGAAAAUGUGACUCAAAAGGGAAAGAGUCAUGUAUAAAACCCAAGUCCAGCCCAAAACAACUUAAACAGCUUGAAUUUACUGCCAAACCAGAGUUUGAUCACAAUCUUGAGUCAUGUCCAAAACCUGAGAUCGGUCUGCCAUCAGAGUCCUCUCCAAAACCGGAGCAUUGGCCAAAAUAUGAACUUUCUCCAAAGCCUGAAUCUUAUCUCAAACCCAAGUUGUGUGAGUGGAGUAAGGUGCCAAAUGAUACCAAUCAAGAAAAAACUGGUCCAAGGCCUAAUUCGGAAGUCCUGAAGCUGUCCAAUAUCUCAAACUUUAUUCCGAAUGUAUCCCCCAGAGCACAGUUGAAGGUGGAUAUCCAAAUUCCUGGUAUGCGUCCGGAAGGGGGGGCCCAGGCAGGACUUGAGGCACCAGAUGAUGGUGCAAAACAAGUUUUAAAGGUGAGCUUGCACGAAUAAUUCUGGUGUUUUCUCCCUCGGUUUGAAGAUCGGUUGAAAGACUUAAAGAAGAUCCUGAGAUAAGAAUUCCAUAGAGGCUAAUGUGAUUUUCAUAUUCCUACACCAAGAAAUUUUCAAAGCAAAUCCUUUGCUGUUAUCGCCCAGACUUGUAAGU